rnacentral:rRNA from 1 species
UACGUAGGUGGCAAGCGUUGUCCGGAAUUAUUGGGCGUAAAGCGCGCGCAGGCGGCCUCUUAAGUCUGAUGUGAAAGCCCCCGGCUCAACCGGGGAGGGCCAUUGGAAACUGGGAGGCUUGAGUAUAGGAGAGAAGAGUGGAAUUCCACGUGUAGCGGUGAAAUGCGUAGAGAUGUGGAGAACACCAGUGGCGAAGGCGACUCUUUGGCCUAUAACUGACGCUGAGGCGCGAAAGCGUUGGGAGCAAACAGG